CCCAAAGUCUUGCCUCCUUUGCGAGAGGGCGAGCGGAGCGAGCGAGCGAGCGAGAGAGAGAGAUCAACGUCGGGGGCGAGAUCGGACGUUCAAUGGAAAGCAAUCGGCAGCCCUCAGGGUCUUCAAAGAACGCCCUGCUUUACGGCGGCGGUCUGGUUUUGAUCCGUGGCUGCAAUGCACCAGAGGAACAAAAAGUUUCAGAGACUCCCUGAAAAAGCCAAGAGGAGGACGUCGAUGGGUGCUGCGCUAGCAAAUUUUGACUAGUCUCCUGAUGCAUGGUGUGUUUGCGCUGAACCGAAAGCAUCAACGAAACAAGCAAGUGCAGCAGCAGCCGAUGGACCACAGAGUGAAGGUCGGUGCUUACUCUUUAGACUUUUGUGGUGUUGUUAAAUGGGCUUUGGUCUUGAAUUGUUUCUGCAAAUGACCCAUGUAGUCGUAUCAAAAUUAAAAGGAAAAGAAGAAAAAAAGUAAAG